rnacentral:rRNA from 1 species
UACGGAGGGUGCAAGCGUUGCUCGGAAUUAUUGGGCGUAAAGGGCAGGUAGGUGGUCUCAUUUGUCUGGGGUGAAAGCCUUGGGCUUAACUCAAGAAGUGCCCCAGAAACGGUGAGACUAGAGUCUUGGAGAGGGUCGCGGAAUUCCCGGUGUAGCGGUGAAAUGCGUAGAGAUCGGGAGGAACACCAGAGGCGAAGGCGGCGACCUGGACAAGGACUGACACUCAACUGCGAAAGCGUGGGGAGCAAACAGG